ACGCAAGCAUCGAUAAUCGGAGUGGAAUAAUCGAUCGGAUCAGACGAUUUCUGUCGGUCAAGGGAUUAAUGGGACGAUCCGGAGCUGUUUACAAUGGUUUCCCUACUCCGCCGAACCCUCCACCAGCGGACGGGGAUGUUUGUUUAUCGGAUAGACGGCGAUCGGGUUAUGGGGUGUUUAUAAAUAUAGAGACACGGUGAACUUGGUGACUGAACGUGACGACGCGCUGGUGACGAUGGUAGAACGUUGGGUGGGUCAGGGUGAUCGAUCGCCUCUAGGGUUCUCCGAGUGCCGUGGGUGUGGAUGGAGAGGCUUCGGUUGAGGCUUUUUUCGAGGAAGAAGGCCAUGGGCCACUGUGCGCAAGCACAAAGGGGUACUUCGUGUACCAAGACCAAUACUUCCACCGCGAUAUUACAAUGGGUUUCCCAGGGACCAAACGCGUCCAUCGAUGUCCCAAGGGUUUUAUGCUGUCCGUCUCUUUUGGUCAAAGGAACUUCAAUCCAUCGAAUGCAACGAAGCACGUAGCUCGUUGGAAACAUCUGUAUUCAUCGCCAUUGGCAUCGUGGAAACGAAUGAUAGACGUGUUUGUGACUUAAUGUUAGUAGUUUUCCAGCCGCAGCCAAGGCUUGCGUUUAUGCAUAUGUCGACAGAAAAAAACUAUAGCGAUAUGUAUGAACGGUUUUUAUAGAAAAAUCUGAGAAUGUUAAUCGUCGCGUGGUUGGAGAAUUGAUAUUACGAAUGGCGGCACUGUAAUAAUAAAUAAUAAAUAAUCGCUCCACCUCCUAUCGAGCCAGAGAUCGUCAAAGUGGUUCUUCGAUGUCGUUACCAUUGACGUCAGGUAGAUUUUUAAUAGCAGAUUUUGAUGAUAAUACAAUAUUAAAUGGAGAGACUCCGUUCACUCCAUUGAAGAUAUAGGACAAUGCGUUACAACCACGUCACUUGAGUAACUUGUCUAUUUUAUCAGUCUUGCUGAGGGUCAAGAGGGAUGUAAUCUAUAGGUUCUACUAUAAGGCUUCGAGUCGCGUACAGUGACCUAUAGACAAAGGUCACUCCUAGUCGUUGACCUUGUUUUCUGUGGUUCGAGGGGGCUCGCGAAUGUCACCGUCAAGAUGAAUAAUAAAUAACAUGUUUUAUAAAUAAAUAAUAUGUAUAAUAUGUGUAACGAUAUAUAAAUAAAUAUUAAAUAAAUAAUACAUCUUUCAAUAAUUAUGGUUGAAUAAAAAAUGUAUAAAUUUUUCCUAUAUUUUUUUGCUUAUCUGUUAAUAGUGUUUUAAGAAGUGUACAGCAUUCUUUGGUUAAAGGUCAUCCAAGAUAAAUUACGACGAAAAUAUGUAGUUUACACAAAAAAGAACCGAUCGAAUGGUUUCGCAUCUACUCUGGUUGUUGGUUAUAUCACUGUUGUAAUCGUUACACGUAUCGUAGAAUGUAAACAAACAUUCAAUCACGUUGCGCGCUCUACAUUUAUCUGUAUCCAUGGAUACUAUUUUUAGUCCGUGGCAUGCUACCGAGGAAAGUGCACUUAUGUAAAAUCCAAACCAAUAAAAUGCGUUAUGCGAAACGGAGAAAGUUGGUAUGGGUUUUAAUUUAUAAUAAAUGUCGUCAAAGUAUUUGAUAAUGGUGUGAUAUCAUUACGAGCCGCUUUGGAGCAUUCGUCGGCAACCGUGAGACAAACAGGAAUUCACAGUGUCAUAACAACUGACUCACCAAUCAAAUACAAUAUAACAAAGUUAUUCUGUUCCUUCACCUUUGUAUCGAUUAUCAAUGUUUGUCUCCAACACUACCAAAAAUAAUUUAAAAUUUGAUAUUCCAGCUUUCAUCAAUUUUAUUUUAGUAACUUUAAUUUUAAUAUUCCCAGAUUCUCUUCGGAAGAAACAGUUUCAUGUAACCCAUAAUAUCACUUCAGAAACAAUAAUAUUUCCUUAAUAUUCACGUUAUUAUUAUCUUCUUGAAACAAUAAUUUCCCCACAACUUUUAUCUCAUCCCUCUUCUACAGACGAAAGAGACGUUUCAAACUCUUCAUUUUCGUUCCCCCUUUGUUCUCCAAUUGUCAUUCCAGCAUUCUGGGGCCGGAUCGUUGCUCGCGAUUCGUCGUUUCACAAAGGAACGGUGACUGCAAAGUUUCCACGAGUAUUCUUGAAACACGACCUGUUCCUAGUUGUUCCAUUGCUAAAACCAGCACGGCCAGAAUUUUAUCUGAGAUCCUCAAGGCGUACAGGUUUUAAAGAAAUGGAAACGAGAGAGAAGUCGUCGUGAAUAACGAGUGGCCGCUUUUUCCAAAAUUUUCCAUUCUCCUUUCCAAUGGCUCUCGAAGGACACCGAUUACACAACGACGAUAAAUGAGAGGGCGAACAAUUACGUAACCUUUCACUUUGUUCACGUUCCUUUUGGUAAAAUUUCAUUGCUCUGAGAGUCUAAACAUUCUUUAUGUUCGCAGGAUCGCAUUGGUUGGUAAACAGAAGCGUUUAAGGAUUUCGUUUGAUUUGUUAAUUGGACGCGUUUCUUUAAACAGACUCAGUCGUGCGUGCCAUGUUUAGAAAGGGAGUUUUCGUAGACGAUAUAGAUUGUAGAUUAUACCUAGAAAUGUGGAUACACAAACAGUUUAAAUUAUGGUUCUAUUAUCUGCUUAAUAACCAGAUACAUAUACAUAUAAUUACUCCGCGCUGAGUAUGUAUUUCCUUCUUCCCUGUCCUUUCAUACUUCGUCUUAAUUCUGUGGUUUCCUCAUCGAAAUGCUUCCAACACCUUUUACUUCAUUUGAUUACGACUUCACUGACCGAUUAUGUUUAAAUUGUAGACUUUCGAUAAAGAAACAAUGUAGCAUUAAAGAUGUCACAGUAGAGUGAGUAUGAAGUGUACUUGUUCGGAAGAAUGCAUCGAUAAUAAUCAUCUACUCGUCUAAGAGCUUGCUUGUCUCUUUAUCUAUUCGUUUGCUUGUCUAAUGAAAGUCUAAAAGUUUACUCGUCUAAUAAGGGUGCGACAGUCUACUCGUCUAAUCGACCAAUAGGAGUGUAAAAGUCUACUUUUACAUAUUUAUAUAUGUAAUUAUACUUUAUUAUUUUUCAUACAUACGAGCACAUGCCUAACGUGUCUGAAAACUCGCAGUCCAAUUAGGGUACCAGAUAGCUACUUGCACGAGACGAACAAGAUUCUCGUUCAAUUAGCAAAGCCAUUAUCAACCGGAACGUCACAACAAUUCAUCCAUCACUUUUUACCGGGUCGACGAAAGGUAAACUCUUACUUCCUGUAUGCUCACGUUUCCGAUGGCUGUGCACACGUGCGCGCGUGACGUUUCAUGCUUGCUUCCGGCUUCAGAUGUAUUUCGCAAGUUCCCUUUCUAAAGCUCGUACAGAUAUCCAGUACCGUUGAUCAUACACGACUCCAACGCGCAUGAAUAGACACACCGAGUGAAAUUUCGUGCGCUUCGAUUAAUAGUUUUAUUCUGCUACCAAUCGUCCGUUCGAGUUGCUCGUUUUGCCUUUCUCAUCGUUCCA